CAGCUUUUUUAUACGCCCGUCUAUGACGGGACGUAUUAUGGUAUACCCCGCGUCCGUCUGUCCGUCCGUCCGUCUGUCCGUCCGUAUGUCUGUUAAUGUCGUACGCUACGUCAAAUAUCCUUUGACAGAUUUUCUUCAAAUUUUAACACAAUCUUAAUAUUGAUAAACCCUGAUCCCCUUUCGUUUUUGACGGAAUUCUGAAUUGUCGUUCCAGAGUUAUGGGACUUUGUUCGUCAAAAUUUCGUGAUUUCAUUGAAUGUCCUACUGUAGCUAUAUAAAAAUGUUAAAGUUGUUAUAACUUUGGUAUGCUUGGACCUAGAGUCUUGAAACUUGACAUGAAGGUUGGCCAGAACUAGUAAGUAACCACUGGACAUUUCAAGGUCAUUCAUUUGAAGGUCAAGGUCACUGUGACCUUGAAUGUAAAAAUGUUAAAGUUCUUAUUUCAUGUUAUAACUUUGGUAUGCUUGUACCUAGAGUCUUCAAACUUGAAAUAAAGAUUGGCCAGUACUAGAAGAUGACCACUGGUCAUUUCAAUGUCAUUCAUUUGAAGGUCAAGGUCACUGUGACCUUAAAUGUUAAAAUGUUAAAAUUGUUAUAACUUUGGUAUGCUUGGACAUAGAGUCUUCAAACUUGACAUGAAGGUUUGCAAGCACACUUAGAUGACCACUGGUCAUUUCAAGGUCAUUCAUUCUAAGGUCAAGGUCACACAAGGUCACUGUGACCUUAAAUGUUAAAAUGUUAAAAUUGUUAUAACUUUGGUAUGCUUGGACAUAGAGUCUUCAAACUUGACAUGAAGGUUUGCAAGCACACUUAGAUGACCACUGGUCAUUUCAAGGUCAUUCAUUCUAAGGUCAAGGUCACUGUGACCUUAAAUGUUAUUGUUGUUCAUGUAUCCUACCGUAGCUCAAAUAUCCCCCGAUGGAUUUUUUAUACGCCCGUCUAUGACGGGACGUAUUAUGGUAUACCCCGCGUCCGUCUGUCCGUCCGUCCGUCCGUCCGUCCGUCCGUCCGUCUGUUAAUGUCGUACGCUACGUCAAAUAUCCUUUGACAGAUUUUCUUCAAAUUUUAACACAAUCUUAAUAUUGAUAAACCCUGAUCCCCUUUCGUUUUUGACGGAAUUCUGAAUUGUCGUUCCAGAGUUAUGGGACUUUGUUCGUCAAAAUUUCGUGAUUUCAUUGAAUGUCCUACUGUAGCUCAAAUAUCCUUCGAUGGAUUUUUUUCAAAUUUCAACACAAUCUUAAUAUUGAUAAACCCUGAUCCCCUUUCGUUUUUGACGGAAUUCUGAAUUGUCGUUCCAGAGUUAUGGGACUUUGUUCGUCAAAAUUUCGUGAUUUCCAUGCUCAUGUACUUAUAAAAUAAACCAUGUAUUCAAAUACAAAUAAACUGAAGUAAAAAAAUGA